rnacentral:rRNA from 1 species
AGGUAACGCGUUAAAAGACCUUUUAGGACCCCCNUUUACGACUGGGAUAACAGAGGGAAACUUCUGAUAAUACUGGAUAAGUUAGUAUAUCGCAUGAUAUGCAAAUGAAAGCUACGGCACUAAAGGAGAGCUUUGCGUCCUAUUAGCUAGUUGGUAAGGUAAGAGCUUACCAAGGCGAUGAUAGGUAGCCGGCCUGAGAGGGUGGACGGCCACAAGGGGACUGAGAUACGGCCCUUACUCCUACGGGAGGCAGCAGUU